AGAGUUUGAUCCUGGCUCAGGACGAACGCUGGCGGCGUGCUUAACACAUGCAAGUCGAACGGGAGUACUUUGAAAGCUUGCUGAUAAGUACUUUAGUGGCGGACGGGUGAGUAACGCGUGAGGAGCUGUCUUAUGCAGGGGGACAACAGUUGGAAACGGCUGCUAAUACCCCAUAAGCCGAGAGGUAAAAGGAGCAAUCCGGCAGAGGAGGUACUCGCGUCCUAUCAGCUAGUAGGUUGGGUAACGGCCGACCUAGGCGAAGACGGGUAGCCGGCCUGAGAGGGCGAACGGCCACACUGGAACUGAGAUACGGUCCAGACUCCUACGGGAGGCAGCAGUGGGGAAUAUUGGGCAAUGGGGGCAACCCUGACCCAGCGACGCCGCGUGGGUGAAGAAAUCCUUCGGGAUGUAAAGCCCUGUUGUAUGGGAAGAGCAGAAGACGGUACCAUACGAGGAAGCCCCGGCAAACUACGUGCCAGCAGCCGCGGUAAUA
rnacentral:rRNA from 1 species